ensembl:lncRNA
GAGGCAUUUUCUCCAGCCUCUCCCUCUCAUCACUGCUGCAGUGUCUCAGUGCUUCAGUCUCUGACCUUCCACAGGGACCAUGCAAGCAUUUGCUCCCAGGUUGUAUCUGACUCCGGUCAGGGAUGAAGAAGCAGAGUCUCAGAGGAAAGCAAAGUCCCGUCAUGCCAGACAAACCCGCAGGUCAACACAGGGUGUGACUCUGACGGACCUGAACGAGGCCAAGAAGACCAACAGCUUGUCUCCUCAAGACAGAGAGAAGGAGGAAGGAGGCCCUCUGGAUGACAGGUCCUGUCUGAGGAAAGGCUUUCCAGAUGACAGGAGAGUUAAAAUUGGCCUGACAGAGUCUGCAGACACGGCAGAGAUCAGUCUGAAAUGCACAAUGGACGAGGAGGGCAACAUUGAACCGAGGUUAGAAACCCUUGCUGAGUCUCCAGACCCGACGUAUUUAUCUGCUGCUGGAUCCUGUGGUGUGCCUUACUGCAACAGCUCCUACAGAGUUGGUGAGCGAUGGUGGCGAGAUGAGAAUCAGAACCCUGUUGAAGAUGCAGCACAGCUGGCAGGUGAUGCAACACAACAAAGGCACCACUGCUGUGAUGUUGAGGAUUCAGACUACAAAGCAGAGGUAUGUGGGAAACUAUUUUAAAAUUCUACUUCACUAACAAUCACAC